UGGGGAAUUUUGGACAAUGGGGAAACCCUGAUCCAGCCAUCCCGCGUGUGCGAUGAAGGCCUUCGGGUUGUAAAGCACUUUUGGCAGGAAAGAAACGUCAUGGGUUAAUACCCCGUGAAACUGACGGUACCUGCAGAAUAAGCACCGGCUAACUACGUGCCAGCAGCCGCGGUAAUACGUAGGGUGCAAGCGUUAAUCGGAAUUACUGGGCGUAAAGCGUGCGCAGGCGGUUCGGAAAGAAAGAUGUGAAAUCCCAGAGCUCAACUUUGGAACUGCAUUUUUAACUACCGGGCUAGAGUGUGUCAGAGGGAGGUGGAAUUCCGCGUGUAGCAGUGAAAUGCGUAGAUAUGCGGAGGAACACCGAUGGCGAAGGCAGCCUCCUGGGAUAACACUGACGCUCAUGCAAGAAAGCGUGGGGAGCAAACAGG
rnacentral:rRNA from 1 species